UUAAUCACAGCAGUACCACCUUCAAAUCUGAUCUUAUCAGAUCUCAGAAGCUAAACAAGACUUGGCCUAGUCAGUAUUGAGAUGGGAGACCUACAAGGAAAACUGAAAUGCUGUUUAAG
rnacentral:rRNA from 1 species